GUCUUGUACACACCGCCCGUCACACCACGAGAGUGUGUAACACCCGAAGCCGGUGGAGUAACCAUUUAUGGAGCUAGCCGUCGAAGGUGGGACAAAUGAUUGGGGUGAAGUCGUAACAAGGUAGCCGUAUCGGAAGGUGCGGCUGGAUCACCUCCUUUCUAAGGA
rnacentral:rRNA from 1 species